CUUAAAAAUUUCACACUUGGAGAAAAAGAGCCCGACCCGAAAACUCGAGCUCGAGCUCCUCCGAUCCUCCUCACUCGAACUCGCCGCCAUUGUAACACUCAUCGCCUCCUUCAUCUGGUCCUUCAUCUCACCGCCUCCCACUACGACGACGCCUGGGACGAAGACGACGACGACGUCCUCAUCGACUCCAGCUGCUGCCCUCCUCCGGCCAAACCCUAAUUCGUUGAUAUCGGCCCCGCAUUGUGCUCCGACGAGGACGAUGACAUCAUCUAGGCCCUUCUAAACGGUGCCAUUGCGUCUUACUGUCUCGAAUCGAAGCUUGGCGACUGUAAGAGAGCAGCGACGAUUCGGCGCGAGUGGCUUCUCAUCUCCGAUCG
rnacentral:lncRNA from 1 species